rnacentral:autocatalytically_spliced_intron from 1 species
AACCGCCGUAUACGAGACCCGUACGUACGGUGGUGUGAGAGGCUCUCCGCUAGGUCAUUGACCUAGCGGCAGUCUACUCGAU